GACAUGAAUCUCAGGUCUAAUUAUUUCUCAUUUCACAUUCUGAUAGAAACCUGUGGAUCCUAAUUUUUUACUGGUCCAUGGAGCCGAUUUAUUGUGAUUACAUUU